GACGGACGCUGGCGGCGUGCUUAACACAUGCAAGUCGAACGGAAAGGCCCUGCUUGCCGGGUACUCGAGUGGCGAACGGGUGAGUAACACGUGGGUGAUCUGCCCUGCACUUCGGGAUAAGCCUGGGAAACUGGGUCUAAUACCGGAUAGGAGCCAUUUUUAGUGUGAUGGUUGGAAAGUUUUUUCGGUGUAGGAUGAGCUCGCGGCCUAUCAGCUUGUUGGUGGGGUAAUGGCCUACCAAGGCGGCGACGGGUAGCCGGCCUGAGAGGGUGGACGGCCACAUUGGGACUGAGAUACGGCCCAGACGCCGACGGGAGGAAGCAGGGGGGAAGAUUGCACAAUGGGCGCAAGCCUGAUGCAGCGACGCCGCGUGGGGGAUGACGGCCUUCGGGUUGUAAACUCCUUUCGCUAGGGACGAAGCUUUUUGUGACGGUACCUAGAGAAGAAGCACCGGCUAACUACGUG
rnacentral:rRNA from 1 species